ensembl:lincRNA
CAAUCAACCUCCUGGAGCCUCAGUUUCUCAUCUUUGAAGAGGGAGUGUACUGAGAUUAUUCAGGGAUGGCUUCGGUUUCCGUUACUGAGGCUAAGGCCCAAGGUCCCGGCUCUCAGCACGUUUUGCUCAUGUAGCCCUUGAAGAAUUUUCAGAAAUGUGCCCAUGUCAGGUUUGCAUCUAAAAUCCUUUUGGAUUGGAAAGGGCACAUUUCUGGUGACGCAGCAGCACUCUCACGGGAUCCGCGGGCGAGGCCCUUCCGCCCGGGGCUCGUGGCAGCACAGGCCGUGUGUGGGGGCCUGGCCGGUGCCUGGGUCUGCCCCGGCUCUGCCAUUGCCUGCUGUGUGACCUGGGACUGCUCACGCCACUGCCCCGAGCCUUGGCUUCCUCAUCUUACAUGGCGGUGGCGAGAGCCCCUGACACAAGGCUGUGGCGAGUUUGAACCGGGCGCCUGGAGCAAGGCUUGGCGGGGGUUCACCAGACAGACAAAGGCGACCUGGCUGGGGAGCCAGUCCUUACUUUCAAAGCAGUUGGCAGAACCGGUCUGGCUUCUGUCAGAACUGUUAGGACGUCGGGAGGUGCUCAGUGACGACCCCUCCCUCUGGGUCCUCCUGCCCCGGCCGCUGGGCGUGGAUGAGGAGAAGGCCGGGCCCUGUGCGAACCUUCCGGGCACAGAAUCCGCUGGGCACAGAAUCUGCGACUUCCCCCCGCCGGAGCCCGGCCUUGCCCCGUGCUCUGUGACUGCUUCUGUGUUCGGGGCCCGAGGGUCAGGCAGGGAGAGCUGCACCUCAGGGAGGCUGGGCUGGGGACAGGGUUGGCCCCUCUUGGUGGCAGUCGGGUGGGAAGGGGACACAGUGGAGCCGGGGCCCUGGACUCAGCCAGAUCUACUUGGUGAGAGACUGCAUCUGGCAGUCAGGGAUCUGGAAGUGAAUCCCUUAAGCAACUGCACCACCGCAGCCACCUGGAAAAUCUUCGCAUGCCCGCAGUGUGGAGGUGUCCUAGACGCCAGGGCCCUUAAGCUUCUGUUCUCUCUGGGUGCCUCUGAUGCACACAUCCCGGCUCCCAGGACGAUCUUCCUGCCUGGCGCGGCUGCCUCCUCCACGCCACCCCUCAGUACCCGUGGUCUAGGGAGACUUCAGCAGUUCCCACUCCACACUGCCCAAACAGCUGCUAAAUAUCUGCUGAAGUAAGAGGAAAAGGUUCGUUAUCGUUGGUUAUUGCUUUGUUCACCUUCCAGCCUCCCUGUAGUGAGGGUCCUGUCCUGACAUAGUGAUCCCUGUGGCAAAUUCGAUUUUCCCCAAACGACCACAUCACCUUUCUACUUCCCGCACACAGGGAGAGCCUCUUCCUUCUUCCUUUGAAUCUCCUCACAGGGCUGCUGAGCUGACACAGCGUGAAGCUGAGGCUGGGUUGCGGAAGGUGCCACAGACUCCACCCGGGUUUCUCUCCUGUUUGACGUUCCUGGGAGCCCAGCCCCCAUGUCGUGAGGAAGCCCACGUCACCUGGAGAGGUCAUGGGCACAGCCACAGUCAGCCACAGCCACAGUGAGCCAUGCAUCAGUCCUGGGAGCCACCCUAGCUAACCCUGAGUGGAGCAGACGCAGGGUGUCCACUCCAAGCCUUGCCCAAAUUUCAACUUCAACUAAGUAAAUGUGGUUUUUUAAGCCACUGCAUUAUGUGGUUUUUUAAGCCGCUGAAUUAUGGGGUCAUUUGUCCCACUGUCGUAGGAACCAGAACGUGCUCCAAGGACCUGUCCCACUGUAAAGACUGGCAGUCGUAUGGCUUCUGUCUCCUGGACUCCUCCCAAGUCUGAACACCUUCCCAACGCCCACAGGUCGCAGCGUAUCUUGGGCAACACCAUCCCCUGCCCCAUCGAGCGGGCACCCGGCCUGUCUCUUGUUUCCUGGAGCUCGCUCAGAGAUAACAGAUUCAUCCGAUCCUCCAGGAAGCGCAGGAGUGGCCUGGCUCCCUGCCCUCCAGCUCUUAGCUCUGCGUCGCUCCUCGUGGGAGCCCUCCCUGCGACAUCUCCCGUUGCCUCUCAGCGCUGAGCUUAACACGGUGGCGUCACCUGGGAGGGCUGAGUCUUUCUGUCUCUUCUCCACCAGCCUCUGAGCUCCAUCAGGGCCCCAGGGCAGUGAUUGCUCCUGUCCUUCCAUAGUCCAGCGCCAAGCCCAGCCCUGCUCUGGGCCUGGACAGUGCUCAGGACAGGACAGUGUGGGAGCCAGCCCCUGGCCCUGACCCUGGCCCUCGGAGCCAGCGCUGUUGCUUCCUUACCUCACUGGAUGUUGCAGGAAUGGGUUAGAGAUCUGAGGAUUGCGGAGAGUUAGGGGUGAGGGGAGAAUGAACCAGUCAUGGGGGCCCCCAGUAUCUCUUAGUGAGCAGAGGGGGAAGGUGGCGCUGGCAGGAAGGAAGGACAGGUGCUGGCUGUGGGUUCCAGCCACUUCCGAGGUGCAGGCCUGGGGAGAGGAGGCAGGUGGGGCCCGCUCGGGGAUCCCCCGAAGAAGUUCUGACUCGGCUCUGCUCCAAUCUGCUCCUGCACAUUCCCCACGCCUGGCAGGCGCUUUUUCUUCUCUUUAAAAGGCACUCCCUGAGCCUGGUGGAAUGAGACAAGCAUGGAAAUCCCUGGGCUGCUCUCAGGGGUGGAAGAGGCUGGGCAUCCCGGCGGCUCAGGGUGGGACUCGGCCUGCAGAGCCGAGCAGGCGCCCUCUUUCCUCCUUUUCUUUUCCUUUUGUCCAUUUAAUUAUUAAAAUGUAAC